GCAUCCUUCCUCUUGCUGCUCAAUUAUUCCCUUUUAAGGUUUUUCUUCAUUGGCAAUUCCAAGCUUAACCAGAUCUACUCAAGCUCUUCUCUCUGCUCGAGCCUGGUCCUUGGGGUUUCUUCUCGUCCCUGCUCUCUUCCAGAGCUUUCUGCCCAGUGACGUCUUCUGACGCCCGUUCCUCCUGUGCCCCGCCCCUCCCCUCUCAGAAUUGUUGUAUCUUUACAGAGCAGGUGCUCUGGAAGAGUCGCUCUCCUCCUGUUCUCUUCUCUCUCUUCUUCACGGACUCAUUCCCUGUGAAUCUCUUCGGUGGCUGAUGGCCACACAACAGUUUGAGGCAUCCAAGAAACUUAUCCUGCAUUUCACUCACAAGAAAAGAAUGAACACUGAAAGUGAUAUCAAAGGAGUGCUGCCUGGCAAGUCAAGCAGUGGAAAUCCAGACAGAUGAAACAGUUUUCCUUUUUUUUUUUUUUAAAAACAAAAAUCCACAAGGCACAGAAUGAAAUAAUCAUGUUACUAUAUGUAAAAUUACCGUAUUCAUUCAA